rnacentral:rRNA from 1 species
CUACGGGGGGCUGCAGUGGGGAAUUUUGCGCAAUGGGCGGAAGCCUGACGCAGCAACGCCGCGUGAGGGAUGAAGGUCUUCGGAUUGUAAACCUCUGUCAAGUGGGAAGAACCCUGACGGUACCACUGGAGGAAGCCCCGGCUAACUCCGUGGCCAGCAGCCGCGGUAAUACGGAGGGGGCAAGCGUUGUUCGGAAUCAUUGGGCGUAAAACGUAUGUAGGCGGCCGGAUAAGUCAGGCGUGCAAGCCCAUGGCUUAACCAUGGAAUUGCGUCUGAAACUAUCUGGCUUGAGGACAGGAGAGGAAAGCGGAAUUCCCAGUGUAGCGGUGAAAUGCGUUGAUAUUGGGAAGAACACCGGUGGCGAAGGCGGCUUUCUGGCCUGUUUCUGACGCUGAGAUACGAAAGCCAGGGGAGCGAACGGGAUUAGAUACCCGUGUAGUC